rnacentral:rRNA from 1 species
CCUACGGGCGGCAGCAGUGGGGAAUUUUGGACAAUGGGGGAAACCCUGAUCCAGCCAUCCCGCGUGUGCGAUGAAGGCCUUCGGGUUGUAAAGCACUUUCGACGGGGACGAUGAUGACGGUACCCGUAGAAGAAGCCCCGGCUAACUUCGUGCCAGCAGCCGCGGUAACACGAAGGGGGCUAGCGUUGCUCGGAAUGACUGGGCGUAAAGGGCGCGUAGGCGGUGAAUCGGGUUGAAAGUGAAAGUCGCCAAAAACUGGCGGAAGACUCUCGAAACCAAUUCACUUGAGUGAGACAGAGGAGAGUGGAAUUUCGUGUGUAGGGGUGAAAUCCGGAGAUCUACGAAGGAACGCCAAAAGCGAAGGCAGCUCUCUGGGUCCCUACCGACGCUGGAGUGCGAAAGCAUGGGGAGCGAACGGGAUUAGAUACCCGUGUAGUC